UACGUAGGGUGCGAGCGUUAAUCGGAAUUACUGGGCGUAAAGGGCGCGUAGGCGGCCUUCUAAGUCGAACGUGAAAUCCCCGGGCUCAACCCGGGAACUGCGUCCGAUACUGGAAGGCUUGAAUCCGGGAGAGGGAUGCGGAAUUCCAGGUGUAGCGGUGAAAUGCGUAGAUAUCUGGAGGAACACCGGUGGCGAAGGCGGCAUCCUGGACCGGUAUUGACGCUGAGGCGCGAAAGCCAGGGGAGCAAAGCGGG
rnacentral:rRNA from 1 species